UACGUAGGUGGCGAGCGUUGUUCGGAUUCAUUGGGCGUAAAGGGUCCGCAGGUGGUUUGAUAAGUCUGACGUGAAAUACCGGAGCUCAACUCCGGAACUGCGUUGGAGACUGUUGAACUAGAGUAUCGGAGAGGAAAUUGGAAUUCCAGGUGUAGCGGUGGAAUGCGUAGAUAUCUGGAAGAACAUCGAAAGCGAAGGCAGAUUUCUGGACGAUGACUGACACUCAGGGACGAAAGCAUGGGGAGCAAACAGG
rnacentral:rRNA from 1 species